rnacentral:miRNA from 1 species
AGGCAAGAUCUUGAGCUG